CUGAACACAAAAUGGCGACACGUGGUUAGCAUUCGUCGCCAACGAGAAAUUGGGGUCGGCCCGAAAGCUCUAGAAUGCACCCCUCUUCCUCCCCGGGGCCUUCCACCUCCGCGAGUUUUAUGACUUAAAAAAGCCCACAGGCUGGUCUGAAGAGGAAGACAAACAUAAAGAUGAAGUGCUUAAUUCAAGGUCACACAAUGUCGGGGAUGGACCUCCAGAUUUCCUUACUGACCUGCAUUAUCUUGUGGAUACCUGAGUGAAUUCCACACCACCCAUUUUAUAGAUGAAACCACUGAGACAUGGAGCAAUUGACUGAGUAGUCACUGCCCCACCCCUGCCUGGAGCCUCACACAUGACUCGCCUCCUCUCAGUGACCACAGGUUGGUUGAGGGGUUUAACAAGGCUAAGAAGGUGAGACGUGGUCUUGUAACACAGUGGUUAAGAAUGUGACUUUGGAGCCAGCCUGCUAGGGGCUGAAUUCUGACUCAGCCAUUUACUAACUGUGUGACCUUAGGUCACAGAAUUUUCCACACUCCUUGACAGAGGUGCUUAACCCUUAUCCAUCAGCAUUCUCAGACAGCACCUCCGGUUAGGGACAGUAUCUGACCGUCCGACAUCCCUGCAGCCCCCAUGUGUCACACAGACUCAGCCUCAGGUAGAUGGUUUCCGUAGAUGGUGGCUUUCUUUGGACCCUUGACAUCAACCAGUUACUAUUUGCUCCUGCAACCACCGCUGUACUUUCUGUCUCUAUGAACUUGACUACUCUAGACACCUCAUGUAAGUAGAAUCAUAGAGUAUUUGUCCUUUUAUGUCUGGUUCUUUCACUUAGCAUAAUGUUUUCAAGAUUCAUCCAUGUUGUAGCAUGUGUCAGAACUUCAUUGCUUUUUACGGCUGAAUAAUAUUCCAUUGUGUAACUGUACCACAUGUUCAUCUGUUCAGCCAUGCGUGGGCGCUUGGGUUGUUUCUUCCUUUCAGCUAUUGCAAACCAAUAAUGCUGCUGUGAACAUGGGUGCGCAAAUAUCUGUUUGAAUCCCUGCUUUCAGUUCUUUUGGGUCUAUACCUAAAGAAGUGGAAUUGCUGCAUCAUAUGGUAAUUCUAUGUUUAACUUCUUGGGGAACCACCAUAUCAUUUUCCACAGUGGCUGUAUACUACUUUACAUACCCACUGGCAAUGCACACAGAUUCCAGUUUCUCCACAUUCUCCCCAUUGUGGCAGGGGUUUUAAACCUCUUCAUCACGGGUGCACCCCCGGAGACUAGGGCAGUGCCUGGCACAUUGUAGGUGCUUGAUAAGUAUUUGUUGGAUGAAUGAAUGGGAGGCCUUGGCCUCAGAGCAGCUGUACCUGGGCACUCUCCUACCUGAAGGUGGCACCCAGUCAGUAAGUGUCCUACCCACACAGGGUCCAAAGACCUUCCCAUUCCAGUCCCUGUUCAGCUCUGAGACAACCAUCCUUUAUUUGUUAUUUAUUUAUUUAUUGAAACAGGGUUUCACUGUGGUGCAGGCUGGAGUGCAGUGGCAAGAUCAUAGCUCACUACAGCCUCGAACUCAUGGGCUCAAGUGAUCUUCCCACCUCAGCCUCCCAAGUAGCUGGGACUACAGGCAUGUGCUGCCC
ensembl:lncRNA PCBP1-AS1 PCBP1 antisense RNA 1